rnacentral:tRNA from 1 species
GCCCGGGUGGCGGAAGUGGUAGACGCAAGGGACUUAAAAUCCCUCGGCCGCAAGGCCGUACCGGUUCAAGUCCGGUCCCGGGUA